rnacentral:rRNA from 1 species
UUUUCCGGUUGAUCCCGCCGGAGGUCACUGCUAUUGGGAUUCGACUAAGCCAUGCGAGUCGAGAGGGUUCGGCCCUCGGCAGACGGCUCAGUAACACGUGGAUAAUCUGCCCUUAGGUGGAAGAUAACCUCGGGAAACUGAGAAUAAUAUUCCAUAGAUCUAAGAUGCUGGAAUGCACUUAGAUUUAAAGCUUCGGCGCCUAAGGAUGAGUCUGCGGACUAUCAGGUAGUAGUCAGGGUAAAGGCCUGACUAGCCUACGACGGAUACGGGUUGUGAGAGCAAUAACCCGGAGACGAUAUCUGAGACACGAUAUCGGGCCCUACGGGGCGCAGCAGGCGCGAAAACUUCACAAUGUGCGAAAGCACGAUGAGGGAAUCCCAAGUGCUUGCUCGUAAGAGUAAGCUGUUUUUAUGUCUAAAAUGCAUAGAGAGUAAGGGCUGGGUAAGACGGGUGCCAGCCGCCGCGGUAAUACCUGCAGCUCAAGUGGUGACCGCUAUUAUUGGGCCUAAAACGUUCGUAGCCGGUUUAUUAAAUGCCUGGGUAAAUCGUGUAGCUUAACUAUACGAAUUCCGGGUAGACUGAUAGACUUGAGACCGGGAGAAGCUAGAGGUACUCCUGGGGUAGAGGUGAAAUUCUGUAAUCCUGGGGGGACCACCAGUGGCGAAGGCGUCUAGCUAGAACGGGUCUGACGGUGAGGAACGAAGCCCUGGGGCGCAAACCGGAUUAGAUACCCGGGUAGUCCAGGGUGUAAACGCUGCUUGCUUGAUGUUAGUUGGGCUCCGAGCCCAAUUAGUGUCGGAGAGAAGUUGUUAAGCAAGCUGCCUGGGAAGUACGAUCGCAAGAUUGAAACUUAAAGGAAUUGGCGGGGGAGCACCGCAACGGGUGGAGCGUGCGGUUUAAUUGGAUUCAACGCCGGGAAUCACUAGU